UCCCCACGAGUGUUGUGGACGGGUAGACGCUUGAACCUAAUCCAACUACUCGGGAACAAAGUAUUAGGAGUUGUGAGCAUGUCCACCUAGAGUGGAAAGCCUAAUACACCUAAACGAUGUUCCCACCUGAACCAAUUGGUUCAAGGCAACAAGUCUUAACGACACUGGUUGGUGGAUGC
rnacentral:other from 1 species